UACGAAGGGGGCGAGCGUUGUUCGGAAUUAUUGGGCGUAAAGGGUGCGUAGGCGGUUUGGUAAGUCUUAUGUGAAAUCUACAGGCUCAACUUGUAGUCUGCAUGAGAAACUGCCGGGCUUGAGUAUGGGAGAGGUGAGUGGAAUUCCUGGUGUAGCGGUGAAAUGCGCAGAUAUCAGGAAGAACACCCGUGGCUAAGGCGGCUCUCUAGUACGGUACUGACGCUGAGACGCGAAAGCGUGGGGAGCGAACAGG
rnacentral:rRNA from 1 species